rnacentral:misc_RNA from 1 species
GCGUUACCUCCCAUUUUUAAAUCUCGCUCUCUCUCCAGGGGGCGGCGUAUACAUAUAUAUAUAAUGCUUCUCUUUUUUAGGAAAAGCCAUCAUUUUUCAAUUUCCAUUUUUUUAAACUAAUUUUCAAUUUUUUAAACUAAUUUUCAAGAUAUUCACGAACACGAUUUCGAUUUCUAUCAAAUUCACCACUACCUUUGGUUUCCCAUUCCAUCAUAGUAGGAGAUUCAAGGCCUGUGCUGUGUCUUUGAGAUUCGACCAUGCGAUGGCUAGCCAAUCAGUGCAUGACUUCACCGUUAAGGUUUGGAGAUUCUGGCUUUUCCAUGCAAUCAGUUUGGAUCUCAGGAGC